GACGAACGCUGGCGGCGUGCUUAACACAUGCAAGUCGAACGGAGUUAAGGAGCUUGCUUCUUAACUUAGUGGCGAACGGGUGAGUAACGCGUGAGGAACCUGCCUUUCAGUGGGGGACAACAGUUGGAAACGACUGCUAAUACCGCAUAAUGUUUUUGGACCGCAUGGUUUAAAAACCAAAGAUUUAUUGCUGAGAGAUGGCCUCGCGUCUGAUUAGCUAGUUGGUGGGGUAACGGCCCACCAAGGCGACGAUCAGUAGCCGGUCUGAGAGGAUGAACGGCCACAUUGGGACUGAGAUACGGCCCAGACUCCUACGGGAGGCAGCAGUGGGGGAUAUUGCACAAUGGGGGAAACCCUGAUGCAGCAACGCCGCGUGAAGGAAGAAGGUCUUCGGAUUGUAAACUUCUGUUUUUAGUGAAGAAACAAAUGACGGUAGCUAAAGAGGAAGCCACGGCUAACUACGUG
rnacentral:rRNA from 1 species